CGCGGCCUAUCAGCUUGUUGGUGGGGUAGUGGCUUACCAAGGCUUUGACGGGUAGCCGGCCUGAGAGGGUGACCGGCCACAUUGGGACUGAGAUACGGCCCAGACUCCUACGGGAGGCAGCAGUGGGGAAUAUUGCACAAUGGGCGGAAGCCUGAUGCAGCAACGCCGCGUGCGGGAUGACGGCCUUCGGGUUGUAAACCGCUUUCGCCUGUGACGAAGCGUGAGUGACGGUAAUGGGUAAAGAAGCACCGGCUAACUACGUGCCAGCAGCCGCGGUGAUACGUAGGGUGCGAGCGUUGUCCGGAUUUAUUGGGCGUAAAGGGCUCGUAGGUGGUUGAUCGCGUCGGAAGUGUAAUCUUGGGGCUUAACCCUGAGCGUGCUUUCGAUACGGGUUGACUUGAGGAAGGUAGGGGAGAAUGGAAUUCCUGGUGGAGCGGUGGAAUGCGCAGAUAUCAGGAGGAACACCGGUGGCGAAGGCGGUUCUCUGGGCCUUUCCUGACGCUGAGGAGCGAAAGCGUGGGGAGCGAACAGGCUUAGAUACCCUGGUAGUCCACGCUGUAAACGGUGGGUACUAGGUGUGGGGUCCAUUCCACGGGUUCCGUGCCGUAGCUAACGCUUUAAGUACCCCGCCUGGGGAGUACGG
rnacentral:rRNA from 1 species